AAUCACUCCAAUAGCGUAUAUUAAAGUUGUUGCAGUUAAAACGCUCGUAGUCGGAUUUCGGGGCGGGCCGCCGGUCUGCCGAUGGGUAUGCACUGGCGGGGGCGCUCCUCCGGCAGACGGCUGCUACUCUUAACUGAGCGGUGGCCGGAGACGGGAUAUUUACUUUGAAAAAAUCAGAGUGUUUCAAGCAGGCAAGUCGC
rnacentral:rRNA from 1 species